rnacentral:lncRNA from 10 species
AAAAAAUAUACAUCAAGAAGGAAGUAAAUAGCAAGUGUUUGCGUCCACGUGUCCGUGCUCACAGGUCCUGGUAAACAGGCUGUGGUGUAUUUGGAGUCAGACUUCUCAAAGAGCAACUUGGUGGCCUUGCUUUUUCAUUUCCCAGGCGCCUUGCUGCUGGGGUUUAGUUACAUUUGGCCAGUGGUGGGCUCUGGCAGGCUGUAGGAAGGUGGGUAGAGGAAAGAAACCAUUGUUCACUCUACUUCUGGUGGGGCACUGACUGCAGGAGUUUAGUGCUCCCCCACCCCCACCCCCGCGGGUCGGUGCUGUCGGCAGCAGCGCACUCCUCUGCUCAGACACCAGGACCUCUUGUCUUGUGAUCCUCCAGCCCUAAGGGGUGCGCUCACUUCCUGUGGUUAUUAAUUCUCUGGGUUAUCUCUCAUCUCCUUUUGUACUCCUUGUGCCCUGGAAACUAUUUGUAAUCAGGCCCCUGAAUUAAAUCCCCUCUUUGUGAAAUACCCAGCAUGGUUUCUGUUUUCCAGACUGGACGCUGGCUGACUCAGGCACGCAGUUUUUGACCUCAGCCUGGCGCGACAUCCUCCUCCUUGCUCUUCUCUCUGUAGCUCCCAGGUGGCUCAUAUGUGCCCCAGCACAUAUGUGCCCCAGCUCAUAUAUGCCCCAGCUCUGUUUUCUGCCUCCCACAGAGAGCAGGUGCAGGUCAUAACACGGAGCAUCUGGCCUAAGGCCAGUUUGGCCAAGCCUGCGGCAGCCAGUGACCCCUCAGGCCAGGACUCCUGGUCCUAGUACCUAACGUCCUGUGCUGUGCCUGCCACUGCGGUCCCCCAGGGGACAGGGCAUGCUAUAGAGGCCUGCCCACUGUAUGCAGCUGAGGAGCAGCCUCUUAGACCUGAGGCCUCAGGUCACAGCAACACCACAGCCUUGACUCCGGGCUGUCCACACUGGGGGACACCUUUAGGAAAUUUAAACUUUUAUCUUCCAGUUAAGGAAAACAGAAGCAGCGAAGAGAAGUGAACUGCCCAAGGUCACACAGUGACUGACUUGGAACAACAUGGCCAGAUCCCAGGUCCCUGCCUCCUGAUCCAAAGCACUUUAAGAAAAAAAAAAACAACAAAAAACCAAAAAUGAAACUGUUUAUUUUGAGAUCAUUAUAGAUUCACAGGCAGUUGUAAGAAAUAAUACAGAGAGAUCCUGUGUGCCCUUUGCCCUGUUCCCCUCCAUAAUAACAGGUUGCAAAACCAUAGUACAAUAUCACAACAAGGACAUUGAUGCUGAUACACUCCACCAAUUUUCAGGUUUCCUCAGUGUUACUUGUAUCCAUUUGUGUGUGUGUGUGUGCAUGUGUAUUUAGUUCUGUACAGCUUUAUCACCCACACAGAAUAGAUUUUGUAUCCACUACCACACUCAAGAGGCCAAGCAUCUGCUGGGCAUUGUGGCAGGUGCCUGCAGUCCCAGCCACUCAUGAGGCAGAGGCAGGAGGAUCAUUUGAGUCCAGGAAUUCUGGGCUGUAGUGUGCUGUGCCAAUUGGGUAUCCACACUAAGUUGGGCAUCAAUAUGGUGACCUCCUGGGAGCAGGGAAGCACUGGAUUGCCUAAGGAGGGGUGAACUGGCCCAGGUCAGAGAUGGAAAAGGUCAAAACUCCUGUGCUGAUCAGUUAUGGGAUCGCGCCUGUGAAUGGCCACUGCACUCCAGCCUGGGCAACCCAGCAAGACCCCAUCUCUUAAAAAAAUGUAAAAGUAGGAAAAGAUGCAUAACAGCUCCUUCCCCACAGGGAUCCCUCAUGCUGCCCUUUUAGGGCCACACCCACUUCUCUCCUGCUUCCAGCUAAUUAAAAAAAUUUUUUUUUAGAGAUGGGGGUCUUCACUAUGUGGCCCAAGCAGGUCUCAAACUCCUGGGCUGAAGCUAUCCUCCUGCCUCAGCCUCUCAAAGUUCUGGGAUUACAGGCUUGAGCCAGUGCACCUGGCCAACAUUUGAUUUUAAUCACAAAUUUAAUAAAGGAAACAUCUUCCAACAUUCUAAACUGGCUUUAAAAAUUUAAUAUACUCAUUUUCUUUUUUAAUUAUGUCAAUGGUCUGAUAGUAAAUUGGUUUUGAGUCUUUUAAAUGAGUCUUUUUUUUUUUUUUUUGAGACAGAUACUUGCUUUGUCACCCAGGCUGGAGUCAGUGGCACCAUCUCAGCUCAUCGCAAACUCCACCUCCCAGGUUCAAGGGAUUCUUGUGCCUCAGCCUCCCAAAUAGUUGGGACUGCAGGCAUGCACCACCAUGCCCAGCUAAUUAAAUGAGUCUUUGUAUCUAGAUUCCUAAAUUCUCCUCAUUCUGCUCCUUCACAUUUAAAUCGACCCCCAGACAGGAUCAGGACCUCCUGGCCUUCUUGGAGAUGUGGGCUCUAUGCAGGGAUGACAGAAGCCAAUGUCUGGAGCCCUCCCCCAACACUGCAGAGCUGGAGCCUGCUCAGAGCUCACAAGUCAUCAAGGAAAAUCCCCUGGGCCCUCAGAGAUAUGACCACUGGACCUACAGGGUUCUGACUAGGGCCAACCCCUUUGCAGAAGUCAGCAAUCCCUGGGAACCUAUGGGGGUGUCAUGUAAUACCUGCCACAUCAACUGACAAGUAGACAUCCCAAUGGCCAUGGAAAAAAUGUCUGUGCCAGGGCUUAGAUCCUCUGAGGCUCUAUAACACUGCUAUUAAAAUAGUCACUGAGCCUAAUAAAAAGUAUAAUCAUCUCCAUUUACAUCAUGAUGUGGAAUCCUGAAAUGGCAAUUUUUAGUUCUUGGUGAAUCAAAGUACACAGAUUCUUGAGAAGGACACAGCCCCUAAAGAGACUUGGGUCCCCUCCUGCAGUUGCCACCCUCCCAGGUGGCCAGUGCAGGCACAAAGAUCUGCCACUCGCUGCUUAAACCCCCACCCAUGGGGAGCCCCCCAUUCACUGUGGGAAGUCAUAGGAACUGCCAUGCCAGUGAGCCAGACCCGGCCCAGGCCCUGCGGUCAGUCACCUGCCACCUGGCUGCUGCUGUGCCUGUGAUCCUCUUCACGCUCUUCCCAGCCGACUCUCCCUGUAGGCUGCCCUCAACUUCUAGAGCGCCAGCCAGGGUGACUCUGGUCCAUGUGCUUGACCAGUGAUCAUUCUAGUAACUUUCUGGAGGUCCCACUUUCUAGGAGGCCCCUGGUAAGUCUCUGCCUUCCACUUCCAGCUGGGACCAGUGACCCCCUCACCUUAAGAAGUGAGGCCCCUGGCCCUGCCUCAUUCUGCGCCUGCCUUCCAGGUUCUUGAGAGCAGGAGGGCCUGGUCCAGGGCCAGGCACCCAGCGGAUGCUCAGCAGAUAUGUGUGCAAUAGAACUAAGCCUUCGAACUUUUGCUGAGCACCAUGGCUGUCCCAGCAGUCAUGUGUUCCCAGGGUUGUGCCCUUUCCUGAAGAUCUCAGCUUCUCCCACAUCUGUGUCUCAUGAAUCUACACCAGCAGAGCCUGGCUCAGCAGGGACCCCAGGGGAAGGCGCAGGCAUCUGUAAUCCCAGCACUUUGGAAGGCCGAGGUGGGCAGAUGGCGUGAGCUCAGGAGUUCAAGACCAGCCUGGGCAACAUGGCGAAACCCUGUCUCUACAAAAAAUACAAAAAUUAGCCGGGCAAGGUGUUGGGCACCUGUAGUUCCAGCUACUUGGGAGGUUGAGGCAGGAGAACAGCUUGAACACAGGAAGUGGAUGUUGCAGUGAGACAAGAUCAUACCACUGCACUGUAGCCUGGGCAACAAAGCGAGACUCCGUCUCAAAGAAAAAAAAAAAGAAGAAAAAGAAAAUGGACCCUGGGUUUGACGGGGACCUCAUGACACGACCUGCCCUCUCAGUGCACGAAAGUGGUCCAGGGGCUCUUCUUGAAUUUCCCCUCCGCUCUCCCUCUGUCCCUCUCUCAGAGGUGGUAGUGGCCUGGGAGGUCCUUGGAGGGGAUCUUUGCAUACCCACCAGUCCACAGCGAAGUAAACUGAGGCACAGAGGGAACGGCAUGUGCCCAGGAUGGGGGGUGUAGGUGCUCGCUGGAGCAGCCCCUUCUCGGACCCAGGGGCAGAAUUUCAUCAGUGGCUAGGGCCGAAUAACAGGACCCCGGGUGCGAGAAACGCCUGUGUAAACGCCUCUCAGAGGGCCCUGGAGAAGGAGGGUGGGAGCCGCGAAGUCAGGGCGCCCCUGGAAGCUUCUAGAGAUCUGGGCGUACAUCAGACAGCAGCGGCUGAAGAAGGAAACAGGCUGGCUUCUAAUAAUGUGCAGACAGUCUCGAUCCUUCUCCCGUAGCUCUGCGAGCCCAUGUUCCUGGCCACGGUCCCUCAGCCGCCCUGGAAGCCGCCGGCACCAGCCGGUGUUCUGCUUCAGAGCGGGCGCGCGGUGACCGGACUGACAAGGAGGGGCUUCAUGCGAAAGUCCCC